ensembl:lncRNA
CUCCACCAGGCUUCAGCCAGGCUCCACCCCUCUUAGACCUCAUUUAAGGGCUGACUGCCCCCCAAGGAAGGAUCUCUUUCUUGAGAUACCUCCUUAGUGAAGCUUUCCCCUGUGCGCCUAGAAUCUUCUGAUAUGGAUGAGCAAUCUUCUUCCUUUCCUUUAUAGCACUUUUCUAUUGUGCAGCUCCUUCUGUCAUCACAUCUCUGUGUUGACGCCUUUCCCAUCGUAUUGCUCUGCCCAGUUUCUACAGUGAGGCAGUGGAGUUCUCUUUAUACAACAAUGUCCAAAUGCUUUUAUCUCACUUGAUGAAACUGUCCCAUUGACCUGAGGAUCUGUCCUAGAAGCAUCUGAAAGGAUUUUCAUGUUGCAAGCUGAGACAUUAUUUGCAAGAAGUACAUACUCAUGCAACAGGGAUCUGUUGUCUUCACUGCCUCUUAAAACAAUACUUUGUAAAAAAAGAAGUAAUGUUACCCAUCUUUCUUGCACAGCUCAGAAUGCAAUUCCUGAAUAGGUGUUUAUAAGAUCUUUGUUCUUUAUUUGCAUGUAUGUACAUGCUGCCUAAUAAGCUUUGGUGUAUGUAUUUGGAAAUGAAGGCAUUUAAUUAUUUAGCGGCUGCUGAAUAUCAUAAUUUUUACUUUACAUGUUGGUGAUAAUUAAUUCUUUUUGUAAUUUUCUGAUGAAUUAUUUCUGUUUCUGCCUAAUCAGCAAGCACACUGUGAAAUAUAAUUGCACUUGAAGGAAAAUUACUGUCUCAUGAGAUGAAUAAGUUUGACUAAAUUGCACAGAAUAAAGCAAUAUCAUUCACAUAGAAUGAGUGUGGCAUCCUGUUUGGCUUUGUUGUGUUUUGAUAACAUUUUUAAAAAAGAGUCUUUUUUUAGGAACAACUUGAUGUAUUUCAAGUCAAACUAUACGAAUAGUUGAUGAACUCAUUGCGUUCUUGGGACUUCAGUUGUAAGUUAAGUUUAAUCUAAGACUUGAAACCUCUCCC